CUCAGAACGAACGCUGGCGGCAUGGAUUAGGCAUGCAAGUCGAACGGGAGCAGCAAUGCUCCAGUGGCGCAAGGGUGAGGAACACGUGAACAACCUGCCUUCGAGUUGGGGAUAGCUUCUGGAAACGGGAGAUAAUACCGAAUAACAUCGCCGGAUCGCAUGAUCUGGUGAUCAAAGCAGCAAUGCGCUUGAAGAGGGGUUCGCGUCCCAUUAGCUAGUUGGUGAGGUAACGGCCCACCAAGGCGAUGAUGGGUAGCUGGUCUGAGAGGACGAUCAGCCACAUUGGGACUGAGAUACUGCCCAGACUCCUACGGGAGGCUGCAGUCGAGAAUUUUGGGCAAUGGACGAAAGUCUGAACCCCCAGCAAUGCCGCGUGCGGGAUGAAGGUCUUCGGAUCGUAAACCGCUGUCAAGAGGGACGAAAUUUGACGGUACCUCUGGAGGAAGCCACGGCUAACUACGUGCCAGCCGCUGC
rnacentral:rRNA from 1 species